rnacentral:tRNA from 1 species
GGGUCGGUGGCGUAGCUGGUUAUCGCAUCUGUCUAACAUAAUUCUUUAGCAUCCCUUGCACAGAGGGUCCUCAGUCCGAACCUGGACCGACUCA